rfam:Asian citrus Psyllid, Diaphorina citri - Florida Strain, whole genome shotgun sequence.
GCCUCGGUGGCGUAGUGGUCUAGACGCUCGUCUGGUAAACAGGAGGGCGUGGGUUCGAUCCCAGCCGAGGUA